UGGGGAAUAUUGGACAAUGGGCGCAAGCCUGAUCCAGCCAUGCCGCUUGAGUGAUGAAGGCCUUUGGGUUGUAAAGUUCUUUCACCGGAGAAGAUAAUGACGGUAUCCGGAGAAGAAGCCCCGGCUAACUUCGUGCCAGCAGCCGCGGUAAUACGAAGGGGGCUAGCGUUGUUCGGAAUUCCUGGGCGUAAAGCGCACGUAGGCGGAUCGAUCAGUCAGGGGUGAAAUCCCAGAGGUCAACUCUGGAACUGCCUUUGAUACUGUCGUUCUAAAGUAUGGAAGAGGUGAGUGGAAUUCCGAGUGUAGAGGUGAAAAUCGUAGAUAUUCGGAGGAACACCAGUGGCGAAGGCGGCUCACUGGUCCAUUACUGACGCUGAGGUGCGAAAGCGUGGGGAGCAAACAGG
rnacentral:rRNA from 1 species